rnacentral:rRNA from 1 species
UCCUGCCUAGCAGAAUGACCAGAGAA